rnacentral:tRNA from 1 species
GGUCUGUUAGCUCAGUUGGCCGAGCGUGGUGCUGAUAACGCUAAGGUCGUGAGUUCGAUCCUCACAUGGACCU